CACAUUAGUCUGGGUAACGUACGGUGCGACUUACUGUGUGGUUUACGGUGUGUUUUACUGUGUGGCUUGAAGGACGUGACUGGCGGUGUGCCACUUGCAACUUCUCCGCUCUCAGUAGGGCCAGAGGCUCCGUGGAGGCAGCUGUCGGCUCGGCGUCCCCGGGUAGUGGAAGUGGUAGUGGGCGGGUUGCCCGUUAAUUGGAAGAAGAAUCCAGGCUCUGUAUUCCAGCUGUGAAGUGUCAGGAAUAGUGAUCGAACUAAUCAUCGAAGUAAUCAGACGGAUGAACAUCAAAAAUUACCCUACCAUGUGUUCAGAAUCAGAAGU